rnacentral:lncRNA from 1 species
CUUAGGUGAGUUAUCACCUAAGCAUUAAUGAUUAGGCACGACCAAGAGAAAUUCUUAGGUGAGUUAUCACCUAAGCAUUAAUGAUUAGGCACGACCAAUCAUAUAAUUACAACUCAUUAUUAUAUUAAAUAAUUACAAAUAAUUAGUAGAUAAAUAAUUAAAACAAAAUCUCUAUAAAUAAGGAAAGGAAAAAAAAAAGAGUUAUAAAAAAAACAUGUGUUGUGCACUUUAUUAAUUUUUUUUUCUUCUAAUUGCUCAUAUUUUUUAUUUCUCCAACUAAGCUCUCUCUUUAGUUUUAAAUAUUUUUGUUUCAAUUAUUUUUAUUUUUAUGUGAACACUUCGAUGAUCAAUACAUUGUUGAAUACCUG